rnacentral:rRNA from 1 species
GCCUUCUGACAACCAAAAUAGCAGGUAUAUUCUGCCCAGUGAGGAUUUAAACGGCCGCGGUACCCUGACCGUGCAAAGGUAGCAUAAUAGCUCGCCUCUUAAUUAGAGGCUGGAAUCAACGAACGCACGUGAGCCAAGCUGUCUCUAUGAAACUUAAGGAAUUUAACCUUCAGGUGAAAAGGCCUGAAUUUACCUAAUAGACAAGAAGACCCUAUCGAGCUUAAUUAUUAUUCAACAAAAUAAACUAUUCAUUUACUUUCUUAGCUUGUUCACUAAUUUAGUUGGGGCAACUGGGGAACAUUCAAAGCUUCUCCUCAUUUAUAAAUCUUACAAAGACCCAGGUUAUCUGAUCAAAGGAAAAAGCUACCGUAGGGAUAACAGGUUAAUUUUUCUCGAGAGUCCACAUUGACAGAAAAGUUUGACACCUCGAUGUUGGCUUAGGUUAUCCUAUUAGUGCAGAAGCUAAUAAAGGUGGGUUUGUUCAUCCCAUAAAAACCU